rnacentral:rRNA from 1 species
CAGCCGCCGCGGUAAUACGUAGGGUGCAAGCGUUAAUCGGAUUUACUGGGCGUAAAGCGUGCGUAGGCGGCUUUUUAAGUCGGAUGUGAAAUCCCUGAGCUUAACUUAGGAAUUGCAUUCGAUACUGGGAAGCUAGAGUAUGGGAGAGGAUGGUAGAAUUCCAGGUGUAGCGGUGAAAUGCGUAGAGAUCUGGAGGAAUACCGAUGGCGAAGGCAGCCAUCUGGCCUAAUACUGACGCUGAGGUACGAAAGCAUGGGGAGCAAACAGGAUUAGAUACCCGCGUAGUCCCUGUCUCUUAUAC